UACGAAGGGGGCUAGCGUUGUUCGGAAUUACUGGGCGUAAAGCGCGCGUAGGCGGCUAUUUAAGUCAGGGGUGAAAUCCCAGAGCUCAACUCUGGAACUGCCUUUGAUACUGGGUAUCUUGAGUAUGGAAGAGGUAAGUGGAAUUGCGAGUGUAGAGGUGAAAUUCGUAGAUAUUCGCAGGAACACCAGUGGCGAAGGCGGCUUACUGGUCCAUAACUGACGCUGAGGUGCGAAAGCGUGGGGAGCAAACAGG
rnacentral:rRNA from 1 species